CUAUCCUGCUGUGUUCAAUGGAGAAACACUGCCUCUCGAACAGCCAUUGCUUUGCCUUAUGUGAGUAGCAGGAAAAUGAUCAUAACUGCCUCUAUAUAGGAAUCCAUCCGUAAACUGGACGUUUUUCUUUGCAGGUCACAAGUUUGCCAGAAAUGUGUUCGCCUGGACUGGGAUUCAUCUUUUCGAGUUAAAAGAAAAAAAACUGCACUCUACAAACAGAAAUAGUGUCCUAAGCAGUUUAAAACUAGACUUCAUCUGCAACUCUACAAUGUAUCAAUUAUUCUUUGAGAAGAAGACAAUUUAAUGUGGGCUAUACAUAGAUUGAUCAAUAUGGAGCGCGUGGAUAGGAGUUACCCAUUUUGGCAUCAGAUCUGCUACCACUGGAGUCCAUUGUGUGAGUACCUGGCAGUGGAUGGACCUUAUCAACCUCAGUGUAACUUUUAAUAAAUGUCCAUUCUAUAGGAAUGCAUCCCAGUGUUCUAACUCUUUCUAAUACAAUAGAUAUUGUUAACCAAAGGAAUUAAGUACAACUUUCAAUGUCCAGAGAUCUGAAGAGAAUGAUG